GCACGUAGACAGCCAUUUUAUUGCCAUUACUCAGUUUAAAUUGCCAACACCUGUGACAAAAAAAAUUUGCCUCAAUCUUUUAACCAGAUUAUAGUUUAACAAAGGUUGUUACCAUGUUCACGUCUCGUUCAACGAUUUUAUUGUUUUUUGUCAUUGUAUCAAUAUUCGCAAUGGCCGUUCUAGCUGGUGUGAAUGGGUCCUUUGUACUCCAAAGUAUCAUCGCAGUUCCUUGCCAACCAGGAUACGUGAAAGUUGGUACCAAAUGCAUAAGACAAUUUGAAUAACUGGGUUCGUUCACAAAGAUGCAGAUAACCGGAGGGGAUCCUUUGUACAUAUGUGAUUUUUGUAUUAUUUAUUUAAUUAUUUAUUUUGUAUGUCAAUAUAGGGACUUAACUUAGAAACUGUACGAAUCGUAAUUUCUGCAAACAUCACCGAGAUUUUACUGAGACAUUCUUCAUUGCAACAUAUUCAUGCGAUCAAUGGUGAUACACUUCACAAGCCAUAUCAUGAAAUGAAUAGUAUUUUUGACUCAAUCGAGUCGAUGAUUCAUCUAAGAACCUGUUUACAAAAAUUAGGAAAGGCUCUCGAGGGAUAUAUUGUACUUUAAGUAUUGAAGUAAUAUUUACAGAUCAAUUAUUAUACUAUUAAAAUUUCCAAAUAUCAUUUUCUGGAUGAUAUGUGUACUUAGAUUGUAAUAUAAAUAGGAAUGACUUAAUAUAUGGAUAUUUAAUAAAAUUGAUUGUCAAGAAUA